rnacentral:rRNA from 1 species
CAGUAGCCGCGGUAAUACGGAGGGUGCAAGCGUUAAUCGGAAUUACUGGGCGUAAAGCGCACGCGGGCGGUUUGUUAAGUCAGAUGUGAAAUCCCCGAGCUUAACUUGGGAACUGCAUUUGAAACUGGCAAGCUAGAGUCUUGUAGAGGGGGGUAGAAUUCCAGGUGUAGCGGUGAAAUGCGUAGAGAUCUGGAGGAAUACCGGUGGCGAAGGCGGCCCCCUGGACAAAGACUGACGCUCAGGUGCGAAAGCGUGGGGAGCAAACAGGAUUAGAUACCCGGGUAGUCCCUGUCUCUUAUAC